AUGAAGACGAGGCGUGGCGCGUGCUACUCCUGCCAUGAGUCCGCCGCGGCCGAGGCGCCGGAGAUGCACCGUCGGAAGAGGCGGAGGACGGCCAUGGAGGCGGCGGGGUGUGCUGCCGUCGGAGACAUGUUCGAGGACCUGCCGGAUGAUCUGUUGGUGUCCAUACUUGCUGAUGUGGCCGCGUCCGCCCGCUCGCCGGCCGACCUCGCCGGCGCCAUCAUGACGUGCAAGAGAUUCAGGGAGUUGGGCCAGAGCAAGGUUGUUCUUGCCAAGGUGUCACCGCGGUGCCUCGCCGUCCGGGCCAAAAGCUGGUCGGACUCCGCCCACCGCUUCCUGCAGGGCUGCGCGGACGCCGGGAACCUCGACGCAUGCUACCUUCUUGGCAUGAUCCGGUUCUACUGCCUGGGGAGCCGGGGGUCGGGAGCGGCGCUGAUGGCGGCAGCGGCGGUGGGUGGCCACCGGGAGGCGCUCUACUCGCUGGCCGUUAUCCAGUUCAACGGCAGCGGUGGCAGCAAGGACGACCGCGACCUCCGCGCGGGCGCUGCGCUGUGCGCGCGCGCGGCGUCACUCGGCCACGUCGACGCGCUCCGCGAGCUCGGCCACUGCCUUCAGGACGGCUACGGCGUGCGCCGCUCCUUGCUCGACGGGCGCCGCCUCCUCAUCCAGGCGAACGCGCGGGAGCUCGCCGCCGCGGUCACCACGUCGGCCUCUUUGCUCCGCGCGGCAGCCGGCAGCGGCAAGGCCUCGAGGAGGCACUCGUGCCUGCUCAGCGACUUCGGCUGCCGCGCCGCGGCCGCCGCGGCCGGCGAGGCGCAUGCCGCCAACCGGUUCCUCGUCGAGUGGUUCGCGUUGCGGCCGCUGGGCGCCGAGAGCAGCCCAGCGCCGGCGCCGGCGCCAGCUGAGGAGGGCGGUGGCCUGCGGCUGUGCUCGCACGCGCUGUGCGGUCGGCCGGAGACACGGCGGCACGAGUUCCGGCGGUGCUCCGUAUGCGGCGUGGUGAACUACUGCUCGCGCGCAUGCCAGGCGCUGCACUGGAAGAUGGCGCACAAGGCCGAGUGCACGCCCAUGGACCGGUGGCUCGACGGCGCCAACGCGAACCCCAACCCCAAUGCCGUCGCAGGCGCAGGCGACGCCGCGGUGGCCGCUCCGGCCCUGUAA
rnacentral:rRNA from 1 species